rnacentral:rRNA from 1 species
UACAGAGGAUGCAAGCGUUAUCCGGAAUGAUUGGGCGUAAAGCGUCUGUAGGUGGCUUUUAAGUCCGCCGUCAAAUCCCAGGGCUCAACUCUGGACAGGCGGUGGAAACUACCAAGCUGGAGUACGGUAGGGGCAGAGGGAAUUUCCGGUGGAGCGGUGAAAUGCGUAGAGAUGCGGAGGAACACCGAUGGCGAAGGCAGCCCCCUGGGCUAACACUGACGCUCAGGCACGAAAGCGUGGGGAGCAAACGAGG